CUUCUUUCCAUCAGUUGUCUUAAUAAUGGAAACUCCUGCAGGGGACGUUUAAGAGGUAGAACAUGUGUUACUAAUUUGUAAAUGCAUGUAUGGCCCUACUGAUACUGUAUAAUUAAGCCAUCAAAAACUAAUGCACUUAUAGAUGGAUUGCUAGAUCGAUUUUAAUAGGGGUUUCCAGAUAAGGCAGACUGUGAAUGUGGCUGCCUUUUGUUUCCUUGUGUGACGCAUGCUUUAUAAGGCAGCUUUGAAGGACAUUGUGAGGUUGGUUCUUGGGGCAAAUAACCACCACCUCCUUCUGUGAGAAAUCCACACAGCACACAGCGCAGACUGAAACAGCUGAAGGAGGGCAUUGAGGCUCAGUUUCCAGCUCUCGACACACCAGUUGACAAAAUGAAGAGGGAGACAAUCCUUGUGUUGGGACUGGUGUUAAUCCUCUCUAUGGCUGUCCUUUCAUCUGAAGGCAGAAAACUCAAGUGUUGCAAAAAAUAUUUUCUGAAACAUCACAAGAAUGACUCCCUCAGGCCCAAGAAUGCCAAGACUGGCCAUCGCUGCAGGCCAUGCAGACCAAACAUACCUCUCCCUUCUUCGUAAUCAGCUUCUGCCAUGCUUGCGUGACAAAGCUGGGAAGGCGUAUACACACCAGCAUAAUACUUUCAAGGGAAUAAAGCAUCUUGCCUAGUGAUUCAUCUUCUGAAUAAAAAAAAAGUAGAUCUGACGUUGAUGCUAUGCACAGCCUUAACUAUGCACCAUAUACUGUAUGUGUCUGGCUUUGAUAGCUCAAACUAAGAAAAGCUUUUGUAGUAUUCUUUAAUGCAAAAUUCAACCCACGGGAAAAUCGAAAUAUUUGUUACCCUCACAUGCAACUAAUGAUUUAGGUUUCUUGUUGUAAUGGGUAAUUUUUUAAACAGCCCUUAUUAUUGAAACUAUUGUUUGACAUUUCUAACCUGCUUUUUUCUUAUUCUGUAUGAAAACGGAAUAAAAAUAUAUUCUGCUACAUGGACACCUAUCUUGCUACAUUAAAAUAAAAAAAAUAUUGUACUUCUUCAAGUCCCAAUU
ensembl:lincRNA